rnacentral:rRNA from 1 species
GUCCACGCCGUAAACGAUGGAUGCUAGCUGUAAGAGGUAUCGACCCCUCUUGUAGCGAAGCUAACGCGUUAAGCAUCCCGCCUGUGGAGUACGGUCGCAAGACUAAAACAUAAAGGAAUUGACGGGGACCCGCACAAGCGGUGGAGCGUGUUGUUUAAUUCGAUGGUAAACGAAGAACCUUACCCAGGUUUGACAUCCUUGGAAUUUUGCCGAAAGGCGAGAGUGCUUUAUUGAACCAAGUGACAGGUGUUGCAUGGCCGUCGU